GAUGAACGCUGGCGGCGUGCCUAAUACAUGCAAGUCGAGCGAACAGACGAGGAGCUUGCUCCUCUGACGUUAGCGGCGGACGGGAGAGUAACACGUGGAUAACCUACCUAUAAGACUGGGAUAACUUCGGGACACCGGAGAUAAUACCGGAUAAUAUCUUGAACCGCAUGGUUCAAUAGUGAAAGACGGUUUUGCUGUCACUUCUAGAUGGAUCCGCGCCGCAUUAGCUAGUUGGUAAGGUAACGGCUUACAAAGGCAACGAUGCGUAGCAGACCUGAGAGGGUGAUCGGCCACACUGGAACUGAGACACGGUCCAGACUCCUACGGGAGGCAGCAGUAGGGAAUCUUCCGCAAUGGGCGAAAGCCUGACGGAGCAACGCCGCGUGAGUGAUGAAGGUCUUCGGAUCGUAAAACUCUGUUAUUAGGGAAGAACAAAUGUGUAAGUAACUAUGCACGUCUUGACGGUACCUAAUCAGAAAGCCCCGGCUAACUACGUG
rnacentral:rRNA from 1 species